rnacentral:rRNA from 1 species
AUUGAACGCUGGCGGCAGGCCUAACACAUGCAAGUCGAACGGUAACAGGAAGAAGCUUGCUUCUUUGCUGAUGAGUGGCGGACGGGUGAGUAAUGUCUGGGAAACUGCCUGAUGGAGGGGGAUAACUACUGGAAACGGUAGCUAAUACCGCAUAACGUCGCAAGACCAAAGAGGGGGACCUUCGGGCCUCUUGCCAUCGGAUGUGCCCAGAUGGGAUUAGCUAGUAGGUGGGGUAACGGCUCACCUAGGCGACGAUCCCUAGCUGGUCUGAGAGGAUGACCAGCCACACUGGAACUGAGACACGGUCCAGACUCCUACGGGAGGCAGCAGUGGGGAAUAUUGCACAAUGGGCGCAAGCCUGAUGCAGCCAUGCCGCGUGUAUGAAGAAGGCCUUCGGGUUGUAAAGUACUUUCAGCGGGGAGGAAGGGAGUAAAGUUAAUACCUUUGCUCAUUGACGUUACCCGCAGAAGAAGCACCGGCUAACUCCGUG